AGCAGCCGCGGUAAUUCCAGCUCCAAUAGCGUAUAUUAAAGUUGUUGCAGUUAAAAAGCUCGUAGUUGAAUUUCGGGGUCUGUCCAUUGGUCGGGCUUCACGGUCCGUACUGGUGUGAUGGGUUCCUACCUUCUGAAUAACCAGCAUGCCAUUUAGUUGGUGCGCCGGGGAAGCAGAGCUAUUACCUUGAAAAAAUUAGAGUGCUUAAAGCAGGCUAGUGCUUGAAUAGAUUAGCAUGGAAUAAUAAAAUAGGACGGCAUGGUUCUGUUUUGUUGGUUUCUAGGAUCACCGUAAUGAUUAAUAGGGAUAGUUGGGGGCAUUAGUAUUCAAUUGUCAGAGGUGAAAUUCUUGGAUUUAUUGAAGACUAACUUCUGCGAAAGCAUUUGCCAAGGAUGUUUUCAUUAAUCAAGAACGAAAGUUAGGGGAUCGAAGACGAUCAGAUACCGUCGUAGUCUUAACCAUAAACUAUGCCGACUAGGGAUCGGACGAUGUUAAUUUUUA
rnacentral:rRNA from 1 species